rnacentral:lncRNA from 1 species
CUGAAGUAAAACAGGCUGUGACAAAGCAAUAAGUAUCUGCAGAGGAGAAGAAAAACCUUCUAAAAACUGAUCCGGCGGAGCCCUAGAAUUAUGAUGUCAAAGGAAGGAGCACAGGAGAAAAGUGAGAGAGGGAAACAGAUGUAUCCAGAGAAACAUGGAUGGAGUUAAAACACAGUGAUAAUGUCCUUCCUCAUGCCCCGAGGCACGGCCCUGCUAUCACCAAAUUAACAUCUGGCACAGCUGGAGGGCCAGGGCAGAGCCAGAGGGGCUGUGGGAGGGGAGCAGGGCAACUGCAUUGAAGUACCAGGCAGGAUCCCCCAUUGUAUAAAUCAAUGCGUUCUCUCUCGAGCUUGGGCCUUCUGAUAAUAAGCUAAACAAGAGCUGAUUCCUUACAGCUUCAUGGCUGUAAUCAGCAAACAGGUAAUGAGCAAUGGUAAGACGCCUUAAAUCCUUGGACAGGACAUGCUCAGGAUCUAAAAAGCAUGAUCACAGCUGCUCUAAGUGAAAGGUUCCUGGAAAUUUAUUGCUCCUCAUCAGCAAUAAAUCAGAAGCCCAACUUCCCUGCUGCUUCUCAGACAGAAACACAGUUGUACAGCACGAGAGAAACUCCCCAAAGUGCAGCAUAUGAGGGUCAGCACACAGGCAAGUCUGGAUAACAUUUCAGAAGAGAGACAGAUCAGCUGCCAAUAUGCUGGAAAAUAGCAAGCUUUGAAUUACAUUUAAUUCCUUUAAUAGCUGUGUUUAGUUUGUACACUACUGUAUAAAUAGAUAUGUAUUUAUACUAAUAUUUAUAAAUGUAUGUAUAAAUAUGUCUUUGCAGAGAUAAAUUUAUUAAAGCAAACUAAAU